rnacentral:misc_RNA from 1 species
UUUUGUAAUGCAUAAACAGCUCUGUCAAUUGAAACGGGAUCACCAAUCUGAAUAGCUGAUGCAAAUGUGCUAUUUGCUUUAACAGGUUUAAACUCUUUCCAUCCUGACUUAUAAUACAAAUACAGGGGAUUUGCAUUUGCAGCUUGUGCACAAACUAGCCUAGGAAUCCUAUCCACAAGCCCCAACUCUUUACACAUAUGAAACCCUUUAUAAAAGGCAUAUAUAUUACCCAAAUUACCUCCUGGAACAAUAACCCACUCAGGCACUUCCCAAUCAAACUGCUGUAAAAUCUCAAUUGCAGCAGUUUUCUGACCCUCCAGCCUCAAACUAUUAAGUGAAUUUGCUAAAUAAAUAGGCAACUCAGCAGUAACCUCCCUUAUUAACUGCAUGCACCCAUCAAAAUCAGUAUCAAUACUCAAAACAAAAGCCCCAUUGGCAAUGGGCUGCACUAGUUGGGCCAUGGAAAUCUUAUUUGCUGGUAGAAAAACAAUAGAAGGAAUACCCGCAGAAGCACAGUAAGCAGAUAGUGCGGCGGAGGUGUCACCAGUGGAAGCGCAGCCAACUCCAACCACUGGUUUGUUCAUUUUUCGCAACCUGUUCACUUGGCUGACCAGUACCGUCAUACCCAAAUCUUUAAAGCUCCCAGUAUGGCUGAUCCCACAAUGCUUGACCCACAAAUCGUUCAUGUUCAAAAACUGCUUCCCAUAUCUCUCCGCCCAAAACAGAUUCGAGUUCCCUUCAAAGGCGCUAACAAUAUCAUCGCUAGAUAUCUCAGGCAAAACCCACUCCUUCUUAGACCAAACUCCGGAUCCGUACGGCCAAGUGGUCUUCCCAACCCGGGAAUCGAAGAGUGCACGCCAGUAAGAACCCGGGAAGGCCUUGAGGGCGGAGAUGUCAUGUUGAACGUCGAGGAGGCCACCGGACUGAGAACGGUAAACGAUCUCAUCAAGGGAGUAUGAUUCUGAGCAAGUGGGUCCGGUAUUGAAGGGGACGUAUUUGGCGGAG